CUUCCGUAGGUGAACCUGCGGAAGGAUCAUUACCGAGUACCGGAGCUCUAGAGCUCCUACUCCCACCCUGUGUUGACUUUAAACGUUGCUUUGGCGGACCGGCUCACGCCGCCGGCCCUCGCGCUGGACAGCGUCCGCCAGAGGAUUUUUAAACUCUAUUUAAUGGUGAAUUCUGAGUAUCUUGAAAAUUGAAUCAAAACUUUCAACAACGGAUCUCUUGGUUCUGGCAUCGAUGAAGAACGCAGCGAAAUGCGAUAAGUAAUGUGAAUUGCAGAAUUCAGUGAAUCAUCGAAUCUUUGAACGCACAUUGCGCCCUUUGGUAUUCCGAGGGGCACGCCUGUUCGAGCGUCAUUUAAACCAUCAAGCCCAGCUUGGUCUUGGACGCGGUCGAGUGCGACCUGUCCGCAACCCGUUGGCGGUGCAGUCCGGCUUCAAGCGUAGCAAGAAUUUCGCUUUAGGAGUCCCGUGGCGGCGCCUGCCAGGAAAUUACAUUCCAAAGUUUGACCUCGGAUCAGGUGGGGAUACCCGCUGAACUUAAGCAUAUCAAUAAG
rnacentral:rRNA from 1 species